rnacentral:rRNA from 1 species
GUUGAUGAUGUGGAUUAAUUCGAUGCAACGUGAAAAACCUUACCUACCCUUGACAUGCCACUAACGAAGNCAGAGAUGCAUUAGGUGCUCGAAAGAGAAAGUGGACACAGGUGCUGCAUGGUUGUCGUCAGCUCGUGUCGUGAGAUGUUGGGUUAAGUCCCGCAACGAGCGCAACCCUUGUCUCUAGUUGCUACGAAAGGGCACUCUAGAGAGACUGCCGGUGACAAACCGGAGGAAGGUGGGGAUGACGUCAAGUCCUCAUGGCCCUUAUGGGUAGGGCUCCACACGUCAUACAAUGGUGCAUACAGAGGGUUGCCAAGCCGCGAGGUGGAGCUAAUCCCAGAAAAUGCAUCGUAGUCCGGAUCGUAGUCUGCAACUCGACUACGUGAAGCUGGAAUCGCUAGUAAUCGCGGAUCAGCAUGCCGCGGUGAAUACGUUCCCGGGUCUUGUA